AUGUAUCCCGCUCAAAUUAACAACUCAAAAGCAGGAGGCCCGGUAGACCUUGAAAUGUUCCGCUUGCCUUCUGGCCUUGGCAGCUGGCUUGACAGGUCCCACCGGCUCUCCUGGGAGAGUGGGCAGCUGACAAAUCCGGAGGCCCUGAAACCUUCCUUCCAGAGUCAGCCUCCUUGGCCCUCCUGGUUCCAGCUUCACCUGUCAACUUACUAGCAGCCCAGUUCUGACUUCUUCAGCCGGAGAACCAACUAUAGCAAGGAAGAGAGAUGGAAAAAGGAAAGAUGCUCAGAGCAAAGGAAACAGUAAGAGGUAGAAGUAACACCGCUCACACAGCUGUUCUUGGAAAGGGAUUGUCAGCUCCUUGGGACAAUAUCUAAGCUGUGGCCUCCAAAAGCCUCAAGGUUCUAGCUGGCCGGGGCAGGGGAAGGUGGCUCUGCCGCAAGCCAGCGCCUCAAACACACAAACAAAUAAAGCAAACUUGUG
rnacentral:lncRNA from 1 species